rnacentral:rRNA from 1 species
GACGAACGUUGGCGGCGUGCUUAACACAUGCAAGUCGAACGGAAAGGCCCUGCUUUUGUGGGGUGCUCGAGUGGCGAACGGGUGAGUAACACGUGAGUAACCUGCCCUUGACUUUGGGAUAACUUCAGGAAACUGGGGCUAAUACCGGAUAGGAGCUCCUGCUGCAUGGUGGGGGUUGGAAAGUUUCGGCGGUUGGGGAUGGACUCGCGGCUUAUCAGCUUGUUGGUGGGGUAGUGGCUUACCAAGGCUUUGACGGGUAGCCGGCCUGAGAGGGUGACCGGCCACAUUGGGACUGAGAUACGGCCCAGACUCCUACGGGAGGCAGCAGUGGGGAAUAUUGCACAAUGGGCGGAAGCCUGAUGCAGCAACGCCGCGUGCGGGAUGACGGCCUUCGGGUUGUAAACCGCUUUCGCCUGUGACGAAGCGUGAGUGACGGUAAUGGGUAAAGAAGCACCGGCUAACUACGUGCCAGCAGCCGCGGUGAUACGUAAGGUGCGAGCGUUGUCCGGAUUUAUUGGGCGUAAAGGGCUCGUAGGUGGUUGAUCGCGUCGGAAGUGUAAUCUUGGGGCUUAACCCUGAGCGUGCUUUCGAUACGGGUUGACUUGAGGAAGGUAGGGGAGAAUGGAAUUCCUGGUGGAGCGGUGGAAUGCGCAGAUAUCAGGAGGAACACCAGUGGCGAAGGCGGUUCUCUGGGCCUUUCCUGACGCUGAGGAGCGAAAGCGUGGGGAGCGAACAGGCUUAGAUACCCUGGUAGUCCACGCUGUAAACGGUGGGUACUAGGUGUGGGGUCCAUUCCACGGGUUCCGUGCCGUAGCUAACGCUUUAAGUACCCCGCCUGGGGAGUACGGCCGCAAGGCUAAAACUCAAAGGAAUUGACGGGGCCCCGCACAAGCGGCGGAGCAUGCGGAUUAAUUCGAUGCAACGCGUAGAACCUUACCUGGGUUUGACAUGGAUCGGGAGUGCUCAGAGAUGGGUGUGCCUCUUUUGGGGUCGGUUCACAGGUGGUGCAUGGCUGUCGUCAGCUCGUGUCGUGAGAUGUUGGGUUAAGUCCCGCAACGAGCGCAACCCUUGUUCACUGUUGCCAGCACGUUAUGGUGGGGACUCAGUGGAGACCGCCGGGGUCAACUCGGAGGAAGGUGGGGAUGACGUCAAGUCAUCAUGCCCCUUAUGUCCAGGGCUUCACGCAUGCUACAAUGGCUGGUACAGAGAGUGGCGAGCCUGUGAGGGUGAGCGAAUCUCGGAAAGCCGGUCUCAGUUCGGAUUGGGGUCUGCAACUCGACCUCAUGAAGUCGGAGUCGCUAGUAAUCGCAGAUCAGCAACGCUGCGGUGAAUACGUUCCCGGGGCU